rnacentral:rRNA from 1 species
AGGACGAACGCUAGCGGCGUGUUUGAAACAUGCAAGUCGAACGGGAAGAGCAAUCUUUUAGUGGCGAACGGGUGCGUAACACGUAAAGAACCUAUCCAACAGCGGGGGAUAGCCUCUGGAAACGGGGGGUAAUACCGCAUACGCUACAAGGCAGGCAUCUGCAAUGUAGGAAAGGGGUACGAAAGUAUCUCACUGAUGGAGGGCUUUGCGGCCUAUCAGGUAGUUGGUGGGGUAACGGCCUACCAAGCCAAAGACGGGUAGCUGGUCUGAGAGGACGAUCAGCCACACUGGGACUGAGAUACGGCCCAGACUCCUACGGGGGGCAGCAGUUUAGAAUAUUGUGCAAUGGGCGAAAGCCUGACACAGCGACGCCGCGUGGGUGAUGAAGGCCUUCGGGUCGUAAAGCCCUGUUGGUAGGGAAGAGAACGGACGGUACCUACCGAGGAAGCCCGGCUAACUACGUGCCAGCAGCCGC